GCUCGUAGUCGGAUUUUGGCUGAGAACGGUCGGUCCGCCGUUAGGUGUGCACUGACUGGUCUCAGCUUCCUGGUGAGGAGGUGUGCUUCACGGCCACUUAGUCACCGUGGUUACUUUGAAAAAAUUAGAGUGUUCAAAGCGGGCUUACGCUUGAAUAUAUUAGCAUGGAAUAACACCAUAGGACUCCUGUCCUAUUUCGUUGGUCUCGGGACGGGAGUAAUGAUUAAGAGGAACAGUUGGGGGCAUUCGUAUUUCAUUGUCAGAGGUGAAAUUCUUGGAUUUAUGAAAGACGAACUUCUGCGAAAGCAUUUGCCAAGGAUGUUUUCAUUGAUCAAGAACGAAAGUUGGGGGCUCGAAGAUGAUUAGAUACCAUCCUAGUCUCAACCAUAAACGAUGCCGACUAGGGAUUGGCGGAUGUUAAUUGAUGACUUCGCCAGCACCUUAUGAGAAAUCAAAGUUUUUGGGUUCCGGGGGGAGUAUGGUCGCAAGGCUG
rnacentral:rRNA from 1 species